UACAGAGGUCUCAAGCGUUGUUCGGAUUCAUUGGGCGUAAAGAGCGUGUAGGCGGCCCGGUAAGUCCGCUGUGAAAGUCAGGGCUCAACCCUGGGAUGCCGGUGGAUACUGUCGGGCUCGAGUCCGGAAGAGGAGUGUGGAAUUCCGUGGUGUAGCGGUGAAAUGCGCAGAUAUCAGGAGGAACACCGGUGGCGAAGGCGGCUUGCUGGGCCAGUUCUGACGCUGAGGAGCGAAAGCGUGGGGAGCGAACAGG
rnacentral:rRNA from 1 species